rnacentral:rRNA from 1 species
GGUAGCAUAAUCAUUUGUUAUCUAAAUAAUAACUAGUAUGAAUGGUCUGACGAGAAAAUAACUUUCUAAAAAAGAAAAAUAAAAAUUUAUUUUAAAGUAAAAAAGCUUUAAAGCCUUAGAAAGACGAGAAGACCCUAGAACCUGCCUAUAUAUAUAGUUUGUUGGGGUGACAUUUUUUACAAACAAAUAACUAUUAAAACUUAUUAAUAGACCCUAACUAUCUUUAGAUAAAAAAAAAAAAGGUACUCUAGGGAUAACAGCAUAAUCUUCUUCUAGAGCCCUAAUCGACAAGAAAGAUUUUGACCUCGAUGUUGAAUUGAUAUUUCUUUCUAAAGCAGA